rnacentral:rRNA from 1 species
CAGAACGAACGCUGGCGGCAUGCCUAACACAUGCAAGUCGAACGAGACCUUCGGGGUCUAGUGGCGCACGGGUGCGUAACGCGUGGGAAUCUGCCCUUGGGUUCGGAAUAACAGCGAGAAAUUGCUGCUAAUACCGGAUGAUGACGUAAGUCCAAAGAUUUAUCGCCCAAGAAUGAGCCCGCGUAGGAUUAGCUAGUUGGUGAGGUAAAAGGCUCACCAAGGCGACGAUCCUUAGCUGGUCUGAGAGGAUGAUCAGCCACACUGGGACUGAGACACGGCCCAGACUCCUACGGGAGGCAGCAGUGGGGAAUAUUGGACAAUGGGCGAAAGCCUGAUCCAGCGAUGCCGCGUGAGUGAUGAAGGCCUUAGGGUUGUAAAGCUCUUUUACCCGGGAUGAUAAUGACAGUACCGGGAGAAUAAGCUCCGGCUAACUCCGUG